rnacentral:rRNA from 1 species
CGUUCCCGGGCCUUGUACACACCGCCCGUCACAUCAUGGGAGUCGCUUGCACCCGAAGUGCACUUUAGUGCCCUACGGUAUGAGCGGUAACUGGGAUG